rnacentral:piRNA from 1 species
UGCAAGAUGGAUCUCGGAAAGGGC